GGCGACGUGGCCAAGUGGUUAAGGCAGAGGUCUGCAAAACCUCCAUCACCGGUUCGAAUCCGGUCGUCGCCU
rnacentral:tRNA from 2 species